UGACAGCACAUGAACUAGCAGGUACAAUACCAGGAGCAGCAAAAUGAAACGGGAACUUUGAUUUUCUUUCUUUCUCUGUGCAUCCAAAUGCCUUUUGUUUUCAUGUUGGUGAAAUGAGAAAAGAGGAGGGAUGAAUUGAAGAAGCAGAAUCAGACAUCCUGUCUGGUUUAUCUGGAAGAGAGAGAUAAGUGUGGAUUCCGCCUCUUUCAGGGAACGCACAUUAACCAUGCCUCAGAGGGAGCGCUGGGUGUGGGGAAGGGUGGCGGGGGAUAGAGGAGGUGUCUGUCUGCCGGGAGCACACAGCUUUCACUCACUGUGAAAACUGUGAAAAUGUCCCCUUCACACCCUCGGCAGCUCAGGCCAAGCUCCGGUGCUAUGUUAGUGGUGAUAAAAUGCCUCCGUGCCACAGCCUAGUUGGAAGUGAGACGUGCAAUGCUAUCCAGAGGUGUUGGACUGACAAGUCUACAAUGUGUUAACUUGUAUCCUACAGUGACUUCUGACCCUGACCCUGUUACAAAAGUCUGCUGGAAACACCGCGCUCAAGUUUGUGGUGGAGAAAAGCACAAAGAGCAUACAAAACUUCACCAGAAAAAUGACAAAACCUCAGUUUAUGCAACAAAAGAAACUAUUUAUUUGGGAUACGCAUUGCCAGUACAAAUUAAGAGACCAUAAAACCUACACCUUUCAGCUAUUUUUCUCCACAGAAAACAAGUUUUGAAUCGGAAUUAGAAAGACAAUAGUUUUCCAUUUGAUACCUUUUUACAUACGCAGAGAUCUUAAAAGUUAAAACCUGUCAAGAAAAAGGCUCCACGAUUUCACUCUGAAAUCCUUAUAAAAAAGAAGUUAACAUUCAAAACACUGCAGUACGUUAUUUUAUUGAAGAACAAAAAGACAUGCAACAAAUAAAACAUUUCAUGUUUUACAAAUUGUUCAUCUUUCUUUUCAUGUCUCUUUUCCUUUUAUAUUCAAAAACUAAAAAGCAUCAUUACAUGAAGCUUCGAUAAUAUUUGACAGGCAAUGUGAAAAGUAGAGUUAAGCCUUUUUUUGAGGGGUGCAAAAACAAUCCUCGUGUUUGCCUUGCAUGGCCGCCGCUGUCAGUUCACUCCAAUGACUUCCAAAGACACGACUGAGGCAGGUUCUGUGCAUCAUUUCAAUGGUGCUCGCCCCCUCGGCUGUAAUACUGAGCAGGUGAGUCGAGAGGGGAGCCGCUCUGAGUCAUUCAAAUGAGUUUGUCUGGUGCCAUCAUGCCGUCGUAGAUCUCAACGCCGAAGCUCUGAGACAUCCAUGAUUUCAUACGUGUGUAAUAAAUACUGUUAAAAAAAAUACCUGUGGUUUUCAGGCUGUUUUGUGGCUGUUUGGGAUCUCGGGACUGAAUUUUCUCUCAGGGUUCAGUUCAGCUAAAAUAAAAGCCAAAGAGAGGGCAAUGUUAACGCUAACUUUUCACGUCACCUUAAAUGGGACAGUAGCCAUUCUGGACGCAGGGUUGUAAUGGUGACAUGAGUACAAAACAAUAAGAAGGAUUUCACCGUAAAUCCAACAGGAACUCAAAGAGGCUGCGUUAAAAUAGCUACUGUCCAAAUUCAAAGAUGCAAAAAAAGAGUAAAGGUGCAUAUCUACAUACUGUAUAUAGAGCAUUCUUGGGCUAAUUCACAUAUAAUGGUAGCAUAAAAAGAAAAAUAGUCAAAAGAAUAUCAAGUGAAACAAAAAAGAUGACUUAUUUGCAAAAUGGAGACACAUAAAAAUAUAUCCAAACAUCUUCUGGAUUUGUGUGCCAUUAGGGUAUUUGUUUUCAUUUGAAUUUAUAUAAACACUACUGUAUUCCAACUGCAUUUUUUUGGCUUUGGAUACAGAGUACCGGAGCAUAAUGAGACGCUCACUAGCACUGCAGAUACUAAAAUCAUUCAAAAACAGGAAAAAGAAAACCCUCGAUAAAGCUGAUCCCAAUGAGGAGGAUAAAAAGUCUGCCUUUUUUUGGUAUCAAAGUAUGUAAAUGCUCAUGAGGACUAUUGUAACCAUGUAUACAUUAUACUGUACAUACAACAAAGGUCACAAAUUUAAUUUCACAUUGCAGAUUGGCAUCAUGUUCAUGAGUGUAGUGUCAUUUUAAACAGAAAAAAGUGAAUAAGUGAGAAUAUAAUCACUUUCUAACGUCAGACGUUGUCUCUGAUGUUACAGGUCAGGCUGGUCAAGCUGAACACAUGCGGAUUAGAUUUGUGACUAUAUCCUGAGGAUUCAGUGAGACAUUUUGAACAGAAAAAAAAUAAAAUAAAUGAAUAUUGCAGAGACAUAUCUUAUUACAUUUUUAGCAUGUUCCAAUUUUACAAACUUUAAUAGGAAACGAUUAUUUAUUUUUAUCAAAUUUUGCUAAUUUUUAUUAACUUUUCCAAUUUAUUUAUUGGAAAAGAAUAAGCUGAGGAAAAACAAAAAUCUUCUGUUC